rnacentral:rRNA from 1 species
AUACGGAGGAUGCGAGCGUUAUCCGGAUUUAUUGGGUUUAAAGGGAGCGUAGGUGGGAUAUUAAGUCAGCUGUGAAAGUUUGGGGCUCAACCUUAAAAUUGCAGUUGAUACUGGUUUCCUUGAGUACGGUACAGGUGGGCGGAAUUCGUGGUGUAGCGGUGAAAUGCUUAGAUAUCACGAAGAACUCCGAUCGCGAAGGCAGCUCACCGGGCCGGAACUGACACUGAUGCUCGAGAGUGCGGGUAUCAAACAGGAUUAGAUACCCUGGUAGUCCGCACAGUAAACGAUGAAUACUCGCUGUUUGCGAUACACGGUAAGCGGCCAAGCGAAAGCGUUAAGUAUUCCACCUGGGGAGUACGCCGGCAACGGUGAAACUCAAAUGAAUUGACGGGG